rnacentral:lncRNA from 1 species
ACAUCUCCAACACCCACAGAAAGUAACCGGAGAAUGGGAAACAUUGCAGCCAUGGCUAUCUGGGGGGUCUGUCCAAGGACAGGUCUACAAUCCGUGACAUGGCUGUCAGUGAUGAUGACUGCCUCCUGUGUGCAGCUGACCACAUGGGUUACAUCUAUAUUGGAGCAUCACAAAAUAUGCUCUUCGGGGACCAGAGGAGGAACCACCAGCUUGGUUGCCCCAGUGAGUGAACACCAGCUGCUUCUCACCUCAUCUGUGGACUGCACGGUGAAGCUGUGGCGCUUAGAAGGGGAAUAUGUAGGUACAUUUGGUCAAAAAGAUCUGUGGAACAUCAAGGAUAAAAUGUCCUG